CUAUAUUAUAGAAAUAAAAGUUCAACUAAUGCUUUACUAGUAGUAAAGGGUUAGUUGAACAAUUAUUUCUAUAAUAUAGACUAAAUGGAUUAUUUAUAGUCUUGUUUAAUUUUAUAUUUUAGACAUAUGACAUGUAGUAACAUACCAUAUUAGUUUAAAUCAGUUGUAAAAUUAAAAAUGUUAACAUCUUUGAUAGGUAUAUUUAUUUAGGUUAGUUACUGCUAAGUUUACAUGGCUAGUUAAUAUGCUUUUAUAAAUUGCAAUUUUUAUUAAUUUCCAAAUUAAACAUGUGGCAUCUAAUAUCAUAAACUGGUUUAUACUGGUGUGUUUAUGUUAUUUUAGAAUUUUUUGUUUUAGACACAUGGCAUUUGUUAUCCCGCUAAUUUACUGUUUUAGACACGUGGCAUGUGGUAUCCCACUGUAAGUUUGAAUUAGUAUAUUUAAAAAAAAAUUAUAUUUUAACUUGCAUUUCUUUUGACGUUCAUGUUUAUGUAAUUAGAUAACAACUAAGUUUGUGUAUGGCUUGUUUGUAUUAUUUCAGAAUUUGCUAUUUUAGACACUUGGUAUAAGCUGUCAUACUACAUGUGGCAUGUGAUAUCCCACUAAUUAGCUAUUUUAAACAUGUGACAAGUGGUAUGACACUGUAUUGAUGUAUGUGAAAUUUAUCGAGUCUUUCAGUUAUCAGAUAAUGUCAAGGAGUUGACAGCAUGGUGUCCAAUUAAAGUGCGAACCUGUGUACGAGUAACAACAGUAUUCAAAACCAAAACCUAUUUAAACCAACCAAACCAAAACUAGUAACCAAAAACUAUCUUGGCAUUGGUUUAUUUUAAACAUCUAAUAUAUAUAUAUAUGUGUGUUUUUUUUAUAUAAAUGUACUAGCUUGAGUAUAGUGUAUUAAAAAAAUGUUUCAAGUAUUUUCAUUGUAAUUUAAAGUAU
rnacentral:lncRNA from 1 species